GCACAGCGAUUGACUUAGGCCGCGUUAGUGAGGUGUUUUGAUGCUUUUGUGGUUUAUGAAGUCUUUUUACAUACAAAUUAUAAUUCAAAAUGUGUUUUUUCCUGUCAGAAAAGCACAUGGAUACAUUUGUGAGAGAAUAACUCGUCGAGUGCAGUCUUAUUGAUGCGUCUAACGGUUGGAACAAACAUGGAAUUCGUUAACCGAGCAGAGUCCACAAAACCCCAUCCAAUUGUCAUGGCGAUUUAAAAAUGCCAGCAGAUCUCUCAGGAAUUGAUCAUAAUCAAUGGACAGUCACCCGGAUCCAGUACGUAUCCAGACCAGAUGGUGGAUCAGCACCUAGAAAGGACCUCUACAUCCCUGAAAGACAGCAGAGACCAGGACAACUAGAGCCCCAGAUACAGAUCCCCUGUAAAGACCUUGUCUCAGAGGACCACCAGGACAAGACCACAGGAAACAGAUGAUUCUUCUGCACAAUCUGACUUUGCUGCAGUCUGGAAUUGAACUACUGGUUUCGUCUGGUCAGAGGAGAACUGGCCCCCUACUGAGCCUGGUUUCUCCCAAGGUUUUUUUUCUCCAUUCUGUCACCGAUGGAGUUUUGGCUCCUUGGUUUUCCUUAGUUGGGGACAAUUAAUAUCAAGCCUUAUCAUCGACUUGAUCGCACAGAGGGACGAUACAUCACUGAAUCAGUGAUGAACUGACUUUAACUGAAAACUGAGUGUUUACUGUUGUCCCUUUGCAUUAUUACACACUAUUUUCCUAUUUAAUACUGUAAAGCUGCUAUGAUGCAGUAUUUGAUCAAUAUGAGAGGCUU